rnacentral:ncRNA from 1 species
ACCAAGUUUUUACUUUACAGUUGCUCCUACAGAGCAGCUACGAAGCAACUGCUGAAAUCUCAGUCACCUGAGCACAGGGACUGCCCAGGACAGAGUAAGCGUUACUGAAAUGACAGAGCCCGCUACAUUAACGAAAUAGGGAGGAACUGGGGAGAGAUUUUUAUCUUCCUUUGCACACAAUGCUUAGCAAAUACAGUUCCACAGGCCACUGGAGAAACAGAGGGAAAUGCAGGAGCCUCAGCAUUGUCUUGUCAACGCGUUGUCACAUGGAGCCGCGCUGUGCAACGUUGAGUGCUCCCUGGGCCUUUUCUGCUCAGCAGAACUGGCGCUGCAGGGUGCAGGGUGAACCGAACGCUGAGUCAAGGCGCCUGAUGCCAACGCUCAUCAGAGCCCAGAAAAGGUGUUAGCUGAUCUAGACACCAGGAUGGUGGCCAUGGAAGUCAGAAUCUGAUAAGGAGUGUGUAACAACUCACCUGCCGAGUCAACUGGCCUUGAAAAGCGAUGUCGCUGGAGCGUCAGGCCCAUACGCAGCCAUCACCAGCAGUGCAAGGCUAUGACAAGUGGGACUGCUACAGUGCAAGCUGAAGCCCGGGGUAAAGCCACGGUGCAGCUACCACAGGUGCAGAACUUGGUAGUAGUAGCAAAUAUUAAAAAAGAGCUUCAAAAGCUGAAGUGGAGCAAAGUUCCAUGUGAGCAGCAGUUGAACACGGGUCAGUCAGUUCUAAGCAACAGGCAGGCAUCGUUCUGAAAGAGAGGGCAACGUCCACUGCUGCCCUCAGCCAAUCAAAAGGGAAUCAGGUUCAGAUCCUCCUCAGCAAGGAAGGAGAGGGGGAGGUGGGACUUAGUCUCUUCUCAGGGCAGAAGGAAGAACCUUCCCCCUCCCUAAAGUGACCCAGCAUAACAGACACUAAUGGUCUGGGUGCGGGCUUCGAGGAGCACAUGUGUAGCAGACAGGUUACAGGAGAAGCCCGUGAAGAGGAAAUUCAAAUCGUUACUGCUCAAUAGUGGACAUUUGCAACUAAGCAAUGGUCUGGAAUGGAGGGCAAGAAGGCCCAGUUACAAGGGGUUAAGCUGGCAAGAAGCAGG